rnacentral:rRNA from 1 species
UGCAAGUCGAGGGGUAGAGGCCUUCGGGCCUUGAGACCGGCGCACGGGUGCGUAACGCGUAUGCAAUCUGCCUUCCACAGAGGGAUAGCCCAGAGAAAUUUGGAUUAAUACCUCAUAGCAUCAUGACCCGGCAUCGGGAUAUGAUUAAAGUCACAACGGUGGAAGAUGAGCAUGCGUCCCAUUAGCUAGUUGGUAAGGUAACGGCUUACCAAGGCUACGAUGGGUAGGGGUCCUGAGAGGGAGAUCCCCCACACUGGUACUGAGACACGGACCAGACUCCUACGGGAGGCAGCAGUGAGGAAUAUUGGUCAAUGGGCGCAAGCCUGAACCAGCCAUGCCGCGUGCAGGAUGACGGUCCUAUGGAUUGUAAACUGCUUUUGUACGGGAAGAAACCCUCCUACGUGUAGGAGCUUGACGGUACCGUAAGAAUAAGGAUCGGCUAACUCCGUGCCAGCAGCCGCGGUAAUACGGAGGAUCCAAGCGUUAUCCGGAAUCAUUGGGUUUAAAGGGUCUGUAGGCGGUCUUGUAAGUCAGUGGUGAAAGCCCAUCGCUCAACGGUGGAACGGCCAUUGAUACUGCUGGACUUGAAUUAUUGGGAAGCAACUAGAAUAUGUAGUGUAGCGGUGAAAUGCUUAGAGAUUACAUGGAAUACCAAUUGCGAAGGCAGGUUGCUACCAAUGGAUUGACGCUGAUGGACGAAAGCGUGGGUAGCGAACAGGAUUAGAUACCCUGGUAGUCCACGCCGUAAACGAUGGAUACUAGCUGUUGGGCGCAAGUUCAGUGGCUAAGCGAAAGUGAUAAGUAUCCCACCUGGGGAGUACGAACGCAAGUUUGAAACUCAAAGGAAUUGACGGGGGCCCGCACAAGCGGUGGAAGCAUGUGGUUUAAUUCGAUGAUACGCGAGGAACCUUACCAAGGCUUAAAUGCAGACUGACCGGUUUGGAAACAGACCUUUCGCAAGACGGUCUACAAGGUGCUGCAUGGUUGUCGUCAGCUCGUGCCG